UACGUAGGGGGCAAGCGUUGUCCGGAAUCAUUGGGCGUAAAGCGCGUGUAGGCGGCUUGGUAAGUCCGCUCUGAAAGCCCGGGGCUCAACCCCGGGAGGCGGGUGGAUACUGUCAAGCUCGAGUCCGGAAGAGGCGAGUGGAAUUCCGAGUGUAGAGGUGAAAUUCGUAGAUAUUCGGAAGAACACCAGUGGCGAAGGCGGCUCACUGGACCGGUAUUGACGCUGAUGUGCGAAAGCGUGGGGAGCAAACAGG
rnacentral:rRNA from 1 species